CCGUAACUAUAACGGUCCUAAGGUAGCGAAAUUCCUUGUCGGGUAAGUUCCGACCCGCACGAAAGGCGUAAUGAUUUGAGCGCUGUCUCGACAAUGCAUCCGGUGAAAUUGAAGUACCAGUGAAGAUGCUGGUUACCCGCGCCAGGACGGAAAGACCCCAUGGAGCUUUACUCCAGUUUGGUACUGGGAUUCGGUACUACCUGUACAGGAUAGGUGGGAGGCUAUGAUCACGGGACGCCAGUUUCGUGUGAGCCGCUGUUGGGAUACCACCCUUGCAGUAUUGGGUUUCUAACCAGCCGCUGUGAACCAGCGGUGGGACAAUGCCAGGCGGGGAGUUUGACUGGGGCGGUCGCCUCCGAAAGGGUAUCGGAGGCGCUCAAAGGUUCCCUCAGAAUGGUUGGAAACCAUUCGAAGAGUGCAAAGGCAGAAGGGAGCUUGACUGCGACACCGACGGGUGGAGCAGGUACGAAAGUAGGACUUAGUGAUCCGGUGGUAUGAAAGUGGGAUUGCCAUCGCUCAACGGAUAAAAGCUACCCUGGGAUAACAGGCUUAUCACUCCCAAGAGUUCACAUCGACGGAGUGGUUUGGCACCUCGAUGUCGGCUCAUCGCAUCCUGGGGCUGUAGUAGGUCCCAAGGGUUGGGCUGUUCGCCCAUUAAAGCGGUACGCGAGCUGGGUUCAGAACGUCGUGAGACAGUUCGGUCCCUAUCCGUCGCGGGCGUAGGAAAUUUGAGAGGAGCUGUCCUUAGUACGAGAGGACCGGGAUGGACUGACCUCUGGUGCACCGGUUGCAUUGCCAAAUGCAUAGCCGGGUAGCCAAGUCGGGACGGGAUAAACGCUGAAGGCAUCUAAGCGUGAAGCCCCCCUCAAGAUGAGAUAUCCCAUAACAUAAGUUAGUAAGACCCCUUGAAGACGACGAGGUAGAUAGGCAGAAGGUGGAAGUGUGGUGACAUAUGGAGCUGAUCUGUACUAAUAGGUC
rnacentral:rRNA from 1 species